rnacentral:rRNA from 1 species
CAGCCGCCGCGGUAAAACGGAGGGUGCAAGCGUUAAUCGGAAUUACUGGGCGUAAAGCGCACGCAGGCGGUUUGUUAAGUCAGAUGUGAGAUCCCCGAGCUUAACUUGGGAACUGCAUUUGAAACUGGCAAGCUAGAGUCUUGUAGAGGGGGGUAGAAUUCCAGGUGUAGCGGUGAAAUGCGUAGAGAUCUGGAGGAAUACCGGUGGCGAAGGCGGCCCCCUGGACAAAGACUGACGCUCAGGUGCGAAAGCGUGGGGAGCAAACAGGAUUAGAUACCCCGGUAGUCCCUGUCUCUUAUAU